rnacentral:lncRNA from 1 species
GAUAGGUAAUAUGUAGUUGCUGCAAUAUCAAACUACUAUAAUGAGCUGAUAUGUUAGGAUUCUAUAAGUAAUAUAUAGCAUUCAUAAUAUCUAAGAUUCUAUAAUAGAUAAGAUUUUGAUAACUUUGAUGCUUGCAAUGGACUGUGCUGGAAAUGGUGGUUGAUUGGGUUUGGAGUAUAGAUGUUACCCAGUCCACCCCUUACAGAAGCUGAAAUUACUGCUGCUUUGCUACUCG